UGUUAGUUGACUUGGCCAAAACGCCAAACAGAGAAAUCUGAAUCUAUUUCCAUUGUAUUUUUGGUUGGGCACUUUCACCGAACAGUUGGCGUGCGCGUGGCACUUCAAUGGAGAAAGUCGCCUACAAGCUUCUACUCUCGUGUCCCUCUGGUCUCGCACCUUCUCAGGUCUCCGUGCUUUUUGAUCAAUCAUACGAUAGAAUUCCCCAUCCUGAUGUUGAGUUAGAAAACUCCAUUGCUGAGAUAUGGGAUCAAAGGGCACAGAAGAAUACUUCACUGUACAAUGGUAAAAAGUUCCGGGUAUGUUGAUCUCAUUUAGCUAUCGUGUUUGUUUCAGAUAUUCAUUCUGACAAUAAAUAUAGUUCUUGACACAAUAUACUGAUGGUUUUUCACUAUGCUAUGUGUGACUUUAUAGCAUACUUCAUUUGACCAAACUGAUGAGAAUGCCACCAGCCAGUGAGCCUGUCUGUAUAUGAUUGGAUACAUUACACCAUGAUUUCCUUUAUCAAAACUGCCAAUAAAAACUGAGUGUCUAAUAUAUAUAGCAGUUGAUCUGGUGUUAUUUUGUUUAGAACCUAUUUAGUUUCAUAGUUUCUAAAAUGACUGCAAUGUUUUCUAUAGUUAAAAUGCAGGAGAGAUCAAAAUAUUCAUAAGACUGCGCAUUUAAUCAUCGGAGAAAUAUUAGAAAGUAAAAGUGAUUCCAAAUUUUUAUUUGAAGCAUGUGAUGCCAGAGAUAUGCAUGCAUUAACGCAACAGACAGAAAGUUGAGGUCCUGCAUUUGUUUUAUAUGUUUAAUCUUUUAAUGCAUGGAUGUUUUCAUGCAUUUAAUUUCACUGUUUUCUCAUGAAUUUAUAUUGCCCAUUAGUUUUUUUCUAGGAUAGAUGUUGCUCAUUUGUUGUUUUUUCCAUAACUUUACAGUAUGGAGGGUAUAACAUCCAUAGUGGAGAUGGAUCACACCAAGAUUCUCAUGUAUGGCUUCACCUUGGUUUGACGGAUUAUAGGUCUCUUCCUCUGUCUCUCAUUCUCAUGUGUGUUUGUGGUUGUCAUGCAAUGAAUUCAUGAAUGCUGCAUUUUAAGAAAAGGAAAAAAAAAUCAAUUUAUUAUAUAUUAUGCGAUACAAUCAUACCAACUAGUAAAAUACUACAAUAUCCCUUAGCUUUUGCAUCUUUCAAGUUAACUUCUUGCAAUUAUUGCUGGACACCGCAUUUGGUCUCACAGGUGAGAAACUCAGAACUAGUUUAGUAUGCUUACUAGGUCACUGAUCUUGUGUGCAUGUAAUACUCUGAUGUUAUCAGUUGUAUAGGAGGAGGCCUACUGCAAGAUUGUUAAAUAUGACUCCAUUUCAUCAUUAUUCAUUACUGGAACAAGGAUUUGUAUCAAUUGAUCAAUGUUUGUCAUAGCAGAUUGCCAUAGGUUAAUGUUUAAUUUGAAUGCUAUUAUCAUAAUCAUUUGCAAUCAGUCUUCUGUUUACUCUGAAUUUCUUUUUUGGUUUAAAGCUUCUUCUCUAUUUUAUUUAAAUGAAUAAUUUAUUGCUUUUAGUAUAAUCUUUAGUUGAUCUACCUAUUCAUUAUUAAGCACAAUGUAACACUUAUCCUUGUACUCAGUAAUUUUAUUUUUCAGCCAUAAUAGAGAAUUAACACUAUCUGCUUGUUACCCAGGACUUUUGUUGGGACAAACUUAAGUCCUUUUUGGGAAAAGUUCCUUGUUCCAUCAGAAGAUGACCCUAUACAAUGUCAACAUACGUCAAGUCCACUGGGUAAUGGCGCAGUUGUGGAGACAUCUGACAAGAAAAUAGUUGUGUUGCGAAGAAGUUCCAAUGUUGGAGAAUUUCCUGGGCAUUUUGUUUUCCCUGGAGGCCAUCCAGAGCCUGAAGAAGUUGGAAUAGCUUCUCAUCAGAGUGGCAAAGACUUUACUGACUCUGAGAUUAUUAAUAAGAAGGCUUCUCAAGAGAUGUUUGACAGUAUUAUUCGUGAAGUAGUAGAGGAAAUUGGAGUCCCAAUGACAUCUCUUUGCAAUCCACUUUUUAUUGGUGUAUCCCGCCGGGUGUUAAACGUUAGACCUGCAGCCUUUUUCUUUAUCAGAUGCAGCCUUUGCUCAGAAGAAAUUCAACAACUGUAUUGUAAUGCUCAAGAUGGCUACGAAUCAACCCAACUUUUUACAGUUCCAUUGAUCGAAUUAGAAAAUAUGGCAUCUAAAAUGCCCGGCUGCCAUCAAGGUGGAUUUGCCCUCUAUAAGCUGAUGGUGGAAGCUUUGAAGAAUACCUGAUUAUUCAUCGCUGCUGAACAAUUGAAGUUGUUUGCCCUUAGCAUCUCUGUAGUCCUCAGUGACAUCAUUAUGAUUUUGACACACUUUACUUGGUAUUCAUCUUGCAAUUAAAUAUAACAAGGAGGCAUGCUGCUUUAGUCUUUCCCAUACUUGCACAAAGAUGAUUAUGCAAAGGUAUAUAUGUUCCAUUUCAUGCUACAACCUUUCUUCUAAACAUUAAUGAGAUGUAAAAACAAUGUGCAACACACGCAAUGACAUUGGACAACAUUAAAUACUUCAAUAUUAAUUGAAUUAAUGUCAUAUUAUCCUUAAUUUUUUU
rnacentral:misc_RNA from 1 species